GCAGCCGCCGCGGGAAAACGUAGGUGGCAAGCGUUGUCCGGAAUUAUUGGGCGUAAAGGGCUCGCAGGCGGUUUCUUAAGUCUGAUGUGAAAGCCCCCGGCUCAACCGGGGAGGGUCAUUGGAAACUGGGAAACUUGAGUGCAGAAGAGGAGAGUGGAAUUCCACGUGUAGCGGUGAAAUGCGUAGAGAUGUGGAGGAACACCAGUGGCGAAGGCGACUCUCUGGUCUGUAACUGACGCUGAGGGCGAAAGCGUGGGGAGCGAACAGGAUUAGAUACCCCGGUAGUCCCUGUCUCUUAUACA
rnacentral:rRNA from 1 species